rnacentral:rRNA from 1 species
UAAUACGAAGGGGGCUAGCGUUGCUCGGAAUCACUGGGCGUAAAGCGCACGUAGGCGGACUCUUAAGUCGGUGGUGAAAUCCUGGAGCUCAACUCCAGAACUGCCUUCGAUACUGGGAGUCUUGAGUUCGGGAGAGGUGAGUGGAACUGCGAGUGUAGAGGUGAAAUUCGUAGAUAUUCGCAAGAACACCAGUGGCGAAGGCGGCUCACUGGCCCGAUACUGACGCUGAGGUGCGAAAGCGUGGGGAGCAAACAGG